rnacentral:lncRNA from 1 species
AUCACUAGGUCUAGGUCAAGCAACAACUAUUACAUCUCUUUAAUAUUACAUGUCCACUCUAAGCUAUUACAGAUCUCUUUACUCUUCCUGUACUCUGCUGGACUGUCCCUGUACACUGUACACUGAACCUGCAAAACUGGGGUUAAGGGAGUGGGAUGAGCUCUAUAGCCCAGUGAGUAGAACAGUAAAACAUCUCAGUAAAAUAUGAUCUCAUGGAAUGCACCAUAUCACAGACAAGCCACAUCAAGAGUAAACCUGUCACCACAUAGUCCCAGUAACUCUGUGCCAGGGCGUAGUCAAAGGCUCCUGGACUUCCUGUCAUAUAUGUAUAUGUGUAUAUAACACCAUUGUACUUACCAUUGCCAGGGCGUAGUCAAAGGCUCCUGGACUUUACUAUAUACCUGCCAGGGCGUAGUCAAAGGCUCCUGGACUUUGCUAUACUUGCCAGGGCGUAGUCAAAGGCUCCUGGACUUCCUGUCUGAGACUAUUGGAUCAUUCAGCAUUCACUCGCAUCACCAAAUAAUAAUGCAAUGCAACAUAUUCGUGAAUACUAAUGCAAUCAACCUAUGGCAUAAACAUGAUGCAUGAGAUAUGCUAAAAGCAGUUUGUGGUUCAAUUAAAAAUCAUCAGUCUUAAGUUUAGUUCCACUCACCUCUGGCUGUCUGGACUGACUGACUCUGCAGGUUCUGAACCUCUGGAGCAGUACUCACUGCUGCUCUCUCUGGUUCCUCUGGUCUGUAUAAGCACAUAAAGACUCAAAUGAGGGACCAAACAAGCUUAUGACCAACUCUAUUAAACUCCCCAAGAAUCCCCUUACACUCACUCAACUAUCCAUGUAACACAUGUAAAAGAAAGCUGGAC